CUCGUAGGCGGCCAACUAAGUCGGAUGUAGAAAUCCCAGCUUAACCUGGGAACUGCAUCCGAUACUGGAUGGCUUGAAUCCGGGAGAGGGAUGCAGAAUUCCAGGUGUAGCAGUGAAAUGCGUAGAUAUCUGGAGGAAUACCGGUGGCGAAGGCGGCAUCCUGGACCGGCAUUGACGCUGAGUGAGCGAAAGCUAGGGGAGCAAACG
rnacentral:rRNA from 1 species